GAAGGGAGGAGGUACUAAGCAUCCGGUGGGCCACAGCUCAGACUCGUGGAAAAGCCUCACCGACGGCACAGAAAGAACCCAACCUAACAGCCUGCAGGAACCAAGCAGCCUUCCCAGAGCAGCCCAGAGCAGCCCAGAGCCCGCGGAAGUCGCCGCCCGGGCUCGAGCAGUCCCAGAGCCCAGGGGAUCCAGCGCGCACGCCCGCGAGGCCCUACUGCAGACCCCGUUCCGCAACGGCGCUUCCCGCUCGCGCGCCAUCACCUCCGGGCGCCACACGCACACUCACCAAGUCCACUUCUGGGGGACGCUGGUGUCCUCCCACCACCGUCCAACACCCACAGCGUCACCACGCCACCAAAGCUGCGCAGGAGCCUCCUGGGCAGGAACACCGAGCCCAAGAUGGCGGCACCCAGACAAAGGAAGGGUGACAGCCAAAGCCCGCCCCCCGCCCUCCCUAUGUGUGUCUGAUUGGACACGCCUCAACUCAGGGCCUCCGAUUGGACAGGACUUCGGAUCCUGCCCCCUCAGAGACAGUAGAUGGCGCUAACGCACAGCUGAAGGAGUCCAGAAUGACAGAAUUCUGUCAUCUCCAUGAGAACAAGUACACAGUAACCUACUAGAAAAUGGAAUAUCGUUUGGAGGAAAAUCAACUGGUAUCCCCGUUAGCAGACGGUUCAUCUCCUGCAGCUGAACCACUCUGUCAGGUAUCAGAUCUGUGCAUCUGGUAUGCACAGCAGAAGGAGCCCAGUUGGUUCCAGCUUAGAUUGUUAACCAGCUCAAAUUUGAACUAACAGCUUUUAGAGGGGCAGGUAUCCAACCUUAUGUAAAUGUAAUAUAAAUUACACCAGCAGACCGU